UGGGGAAUUUUCCGCAAUGGGCGAAAGCCUGACGGAGCAAUACCGCGUGAGGGAUGACAGCCUGUGGGUUGUAAACCUCUUUUCUCAAGGAAGAAGUUCUGACGGUACUUGAGGAAUAAGCAUCGGCUAACUCUGUG
rnacentral:rRNA from 1 species